CGCUCCCGCCCAGGAGGCUGCGCAUUGGCUGCGGGGAAAAUCAAUUAUCAAAUAAUCGAUCAGCAGGGAGCUUCGAUCUGCCGGGAAUGUAAACUGCCAGUACCGAUUCCCGCCCUGACGGUGGCCAAAAGGCUGACUCCCUCAAAGCGACCGGCCUGAGCUCCCAUCCCAUGGUCCCCACCCCCAUCCCACCCUGCCAGCUGUGGAGCAAACCCUCGCCCCAGAGGGGAGAUAGUUGGUGGGAAGAGUUUUGAGAAAGAUUAGGGGGCCCCCUUCACUGGGAGUUUGUUUGGAAAAGGUUGAGAGCUCUCAAAUGUAUUGAAGCCAACUCUUAGGCGCCAAUUUGAACUUGAAAGCAGCUUUUCAGGCCAAGAUGGAACCUUCUGAACUCAGGAAAGCGAUUUUUAAUUUUUGCGAAGCCGAGCUGGCUAGGCCAGGCAGCGCACUUCUUUUCCGAUUAUGGGGAGGGCUGCGCUGGGCCGUCAGCAGUGAGCUCUUCCCCAGCUCCUGAGGGCUGUGGCCCACACCUGAGCGCCUUCCGACAGCUACUCCCGGGGGUGGGAGCGCUGUCUCCCCAGCAGGCCUGCCAGGCAUCAGCGCGGCUUGGGCGGGGGGGGCGGGAGGGGGUCCAACCAGACACCAACACAGGCUCCUCUACGUUUAUGGUCCUUAAAUGAACUGCGAGGAAGGUUAUCAGAAGUGAAAGAAGGAAGGUUCAGUCCCUACAACAAAAGCUAACAAGCAGAAAAUUCUUCCAGGAACGGAUCACAAGUGAGCACAGCUCUGUCCUGUAUUCUAAGCUAGUAAUGGAGGUACAGUACGGGAGCUGAAGAGGUCUAGCAGACGUGCUCCAGUCAUCAACUGCAAACAUUUACCUUUGAAGCAACUGGAUGAGCCAGAUUGGUUAUGGUUUGCAUCCAUGUUCGACUUGAUAAAGGGGCAUAAUUUGUGAAAAGCCUUCAGGCAAAAAUCGUACUGAUUAUUCAAAACUAAAUAUUUUAACAUUUCAUUGAGUUAGCUAAUGAAUAAGAAAAACAUCGAAGGCUUCCUGCAGCUCAGAAAGAAUUCUAGUGGCGUGGAAAGCACAAGGAGCAAAGAACAAGAAACUGAAGGACUCCUGCUGAGCAGUUAUUCGCUUGUGAAUAUCUGAAAAUGUAUUCUUCUGUGCGUUAUUUAAAAAUGAAAAAUAAACAUCAUCUUUCCUUGUC
rnacentral:lncRNA from 1 species